CUUUCAGAACAGUUUAUUUGGGAUUUACGGCUUCCAAGGGUUAGUGUCCCUGAUGACGGAUGAUGUAUGGUAGCAGGCACAGAUGAGAGUUCACAUCUCAAAACUACCAUCGGCAAGCGUAGAACAGAACACACUGGGAAUGGCAAGAAGCUUUUGAAACCUUAAGUCCAUCCCUAGUGACACACCUCCUCCAACAAGGCCACACUUUCCAAUCCUUCCCAAAGAGUUCCAACCCAUUAGGGACCAAGUAGUUCAACAUCAGAGCCUAUUGGGACCACCCUCAUUCAAACUGCCACAUGGGGUCUCAUUAUCUGGCCCUGGCUGGCCUGAGAAUCCCUAUGUAGAUCAGACUGGCCUUAAACUCAGAGAUCUGCCUGCUUCUGCCACACAAGGGCUGGGAUUAAAGGCUUAUGCCACACAGGGCCCUCCUAGCUUCCUUAGGGACAAAUGAAUGACAAUGAAGGAUCUCUCUAUAUAAGAACAGGACAGGGUUGCACAUGUCAGGUCACCCUGGUCAGGCAUUGUGUCAUUGACUUCCUGUAGAUGAUUUGCUGAGGUUGCCUUGGGGCCAGGGAUUAUAAAAAACUCCCGAAGCCAUGCAUGAACCCUGUUGGCUCUUGGGGAGUUCAGACUUUGUGAAGAAGCAGAAGAGGUGAGAGGAAAGGAUGAGGACAGUUAGUGACCCUAAUGAGUGAGGAGACAUGGCCCCAAUGGAUGGCUGGUCCAGGAAGGCCUCUUGCAAGAGUGAGGAGAAUCUACCAAGAUACAAGAGAGCUGAGAAUACUCCUUCUGAGGGGAAUUUUCAAGGGGGCACACAGAACAUUCCAGAGGAAGGAGCAGCUGUAAAAAGAGAAUCUGUAGGAAAGGGGUCACUCGACAAGCCCAAUCCCAAGCCUAAAUUUAGCCUUAACCCUAACACUACAGUGACCCUAAUCAGACCCUAGCCAAAACCAUAACCCUAAUCCUACAUCUAGCCGCAAACAAUUUCUAACCAGCUGUACCUCGUACCCUAAUGCUGCAUCAGGCUCUUCCCUAAGUCAGCUGUAAGUCUAACCCUAGCUCUAACCAUAAUCAUAACUCCUGAGCUCUAGAUGUAAGUUUAGACCCAAUGCUAAUCCUAACCCUACUUCUAACCAUACUGUAAACCUACAGCUAACGGUACUACAAUCCUAGCCCAGGCACUAAUCAUAACCACAACCAUAGUGCUAACCAUAACCAUUACAAGAAGCUAGCCCUAACCCUAUUCACAACCUUGACCACAGUACCAAACAAAGCUCUGCACACGACCCAAACACUGGCUCUGACUCUAGUCUUAACUCUAAGACAAACUCUCAGCCCUAACCCCACCUCUAACCCCAGCACAGGGAUCAAAUGCUUGAAUGUCUGAAGAUCUCACAUGGAGGAGGGGGCAAUUUACAGAUGCUUAGGACUCUGGCGCUGACAUCAUGGGUGGAGCCUGUGUGGAGUCAGCACCCAGCCCCAGCUUCCAUCCCCAUCAGUGCUAACAAGGGUCUGUGAGGGCCAUGGACAGGACAAGUUCGGGAGAGGAGACGGAAAGUGAAGACAACAGCUACACUCUGGGCUGGCUGGCUCCGAAGCUUCCUGUUCACGUUCCGUCUCCGCUUCCCAGUCUACCUCAGGAGGGCUGGCAUUACAGACAUGUGCCAUGACAUCCAGCUUUGUGCAUGGGACCCGGGGACCAAUCUCAGGCCAUCAGGCUUCUGUGACACGUGCCUUCCUGGAUGGCACACACCUUAGACAUCUUCCUUUGGAAGCAGAGCUUGAGACAGACUGGCCUUUGGGAUUUUGGUCAAGGAUGAGAGUCCAAGGAAAACCAACUCAAGGAUGCUUUACUAGAUGAGCAGCUCAGCUGGUCUGGGGGAGUGAGUGGCUGUUGGGGACUGUCCGUGUAUCCCAGGAGAAUCCAAUCUGAUGGGUGAGCUCCAGGGCCCUGCCCCUUUAUCACAUAGGGAUCAUGUCUGCUGACUGGGCUUUGGGGCUCCGGUUCUCUCUCUCUCUCUCUCUGGGAUUCUGAGCUCUCUGUCUCAUUACUUUGGCUGGCCAUGGUCACUGCCACUGGCUUCUCAUAACUACCACCGUCCAGAAAACACGAAGAGGCACUGGUGUGAGUUCCUGGCUCUGAGUGUGACUCUUCCCCGCCCACAAGCCCAGCUCUUCUUGAGAAUCAGGCUCAGUGUCCUAUGUGUUGAUCUGUCUUUCUGCCUCUUGCUUUGUGAGAACAGAGAGGCCAGGGUGAUCAAGGCACAGUGUGGACUAGACAGCCCUGUCACAUCAGAGCGUGUGUUUUCCUCACAACACUUAAGGUCAUCCAAAUCCAAAGCUCAGCUCUUGUCAUCUCUAGUGGAACUGAGCACACGAGACACCUCUGCAUGGCUGCAGUUGGGGCCUCAGAUGAGCGGACUGUGACCUACCUCCCGGUAGAUGAGUCUCCCUACAGGAACUGCGACCUCACAUUCAACGAAGCCUUAAGGAUGUAGAGAUGGUAAGAAUAUCCAGCCAAUAGCAAUUCCUGCACCUAAGGAACCCUUUUGGUCCUUUUUGGUCCUUGUCGUGGUUUGAAAGAGAAUGACUCCCAUUGCCUCAUAUGUUUGAAAUACUUGAUUUUCGGUUGGUGGAACUGUUUGGGAAGGAUUAGGAGGUGUAGCCUUGUUGGAGGUGUGUCACUGGGGGUAGGGUUUGA